CAGUAGCCGCGGGAAUACGGAGGGUGCAAGCGUUGUCCGGAUUUAUUGGGUUUAAAGGGUGCGUAGGCGGCUAUUUAAGUCAGCGGUGAAAGACUCCGGCUCAACCGGAGCAGUGCCAUUGAUACUGGAUAGCUUGAGUGUUGGAGGGGUACAUGGAAUUGAUGGUGUAGCGGUGAAAUGCAUAGAUACCAUCAGGAACACAGAUAGCGAAGGCAUUGUACUGGCCAACAACUGACGCUGAGGCACGAAAGCAUGGGGAGCGAACAGGAUUAGAUACCCCAGUAGUCCCUGUCUCUUAUAA
rnacentral:rRNA from 1 species